rnacentral:lncRNA from 1 species
AAUAAAUUUAUGGGGUAUAAGUACACUUUUGUUACUUGCAUAGAUUGCAUAGUGGUGAAAUCAACACUUUUAUAAAGAGUAUCCAUCACUCGAAUAACUUACAUUGUAUUCGUUAAAUAAUUUUUCAUCAUCCACUCCCUCACCCUUCUGAGUCUCCAUUGCCUAUCAUUCCACAUUCUACAUCUACAUGUAUACAUUAUUUAGCUUCCACUUAUAAGUAAGAACAGGUGAUAUUUGUCUAUCUGUGUUCGACUUGUUUCACUUAGAUAAUUACCUCCAGGUCCAUCCAUGAUUCUGCAAAGACAUGAUUUCAUUCUUUUCUACAGCUGAAGAGUAUUCCAUAGCGUGUGUGUAUAUAGAUAGAUAGAUAGAUAGAUAGAUAGAUAGAUAGAUAGAUACAUAGAUAGUCAUUGCCCCCUGGAGUUUCAAAUCCAACAGAAGAAAUAUAAUUCAGGGAAUUUCACAUUCUUGACUUUUUCCCCUGUGCAAUUGUCUCCUCAUGGAAUUUUGGCACACAUUUACUUAAAAACACACACACACACACACACACAUAGUAUUUGAGCAUAUCAGGGAAUAAAAUAUAUAACUUGUCUAGCAAAAUGAUAAGUGACAUAGUCAAAAUAUUGAUGAACUAACAGGCGAAUGGCAAAUGCCAAAGCCCUGAAAUCAAUUAGGCAGCAUCACUAAAUGUCAGCUACCAGAAUAAUUCCACCCCUUGUGGCCUGCCUGGUUUUCAUGAGGUUUGUGGUCUGCAGGAUUAUAAGGUUGGAUUUAGAGGCUGCCUUAUCAUUUUGACUGGAUUCCCCAUUUAAUGAAAAAGGCCUAGUCACAUUCAGGAAAUAUUAGCGAAUGGUUUUUAAGAUGAAGGAAUUAGCUUAAUUGGUUGAAUACACAUUAGACGGAGCAGUGUUUCUGAAAGUAUGGAUUCCAGGGGACAGCAUCCAGUAUUGUUUUGGUUUUGUUUUGUUUUUAA